AUGCGCGACGUCUACGCGCGCCGGAUGAGGCUCGACGGCAUGAAGCGCGUCUUCCGGAUGACCGGCGACUACAAGUCCCACCCCGACGACGGCUACAACAAGACCGCCGUGCCCGUCGUGGAGAACAUCAGCUACCAGGACGUGGUGGUCACCGGCGUCUGGAAGGAGGCUGCCAGGAUGCAGGGCAUCUAG
rnacentral:rRNA from 1 species